rnacentral:rRNA from 1 species
CUAAGUACUAAAAUCUUUUGAUUAAAACUUAAAGAGCAUGGCGGUCGCUAAAAAUUUCAGGGGAACUUACCAGAUAAUAGAUAACCCACAAGAUACACAACUUAAUUUUAUGGUUUGCAUACCGCCGUCUCCAGGUCCCCCUUAUGGUGGUGCCAAAAAGCUAAAAGCAAUAAGACAGGUCAUGGCGCAGCUUAUAAUUAAGACAUAAGGUGAGUUACAAUAAUAUUUUACUCGGAUUAAAAACUAACAAUUUUCAUGAAGAUGGACUUGAAAGUAAUUUUCAUAAAAAGAAAUAAAAAUUGAAUUUACCUUUUCGCGGUGC